GGCAGUGGUAGCUCAGUGGUUAAGAUGUUGGACUACUGAUUGGAAUAUCAUGAGAACAAAUCCCAGCACUGCCA